rnacentral:ncRNA from 1 species
CACUGGCGAGGUUGAGUGUCAUGAGACACGUAGCCGCAGUGAAAGCGAGCCUGAACAGGGCGCACAGUCAGUGGGGGUAGACGCGAAACCAAGUGAUCUACACUUGGCCAGGAUGAAGUCCCGGUAACACGGGAUGGAGGUCCGCACCAAUAAGCGUUGAAAAGCUUCUGGAUGAGCCGAGUGUAGGAGUGAAAGGCCAAUCAAACUUGGAGAUAGCUCGUACUCCCCGAAAGGCAUUUAGGUGCCGCGUCGGAUGGUCACCGUGAGAGGUAGAGCGACCGAUAGGACAAGAGGGCUUCACCGCCUAUCGAGUCCUGACGAACUCCGAAUGCUCACGGUCUGCAGUCCGGCAGUAAGGGGGCGGGUGCUAAGGUCCGUCCCCGAGAGGAGAAGAAUCCAGACCGCCGUCUAAGGUCCCGGAGUUCUGCCUGAGUUAGUCUAACGAAGUCUGGUCCCUAUGACAGCUAGGAUGUUGGCUUGGAAGCAGCCAUUCAUUCAAAGAGUGCGUAACAGCUCACUAGUCGAGGGUCCGGGCAUGGAUAAUAAUCGGGUAUAAGGCAGACACCGAAGGCGCGGGAUAGCAAUUAUAAAAGUAUCGGUAGGGGAGCAUACUCACAGCGUCGAAUGGUGUACGUAAGUUAUCCUGGAGCGGUGAGUAAAGCAAAUGUAGGAAUAAGUAACGAUAAGGAGGGUUAGAUUCCCUCCCGCUGUAAGACCAAGGUUUCCCGGGCAAUGCCAAUCAGCCCGGGGUCAGUCGGGUCCUAAGUCUAAGCCGAACGGCGAUGGCGAUGGCAGAGACGGUUAAUAUUCCGUCACUGCCGCAUGGGGCGACGUGGAGACGGAGCAGUGAAACCACCGCGGGGCGACGGAAGUCCCCGUUGAAGAGUGUAGGUGUUGAGGAUGGCAGGCAAAUCCACCAUCCGAGCUGAACUUGAUAGUACGGAGUCCUCCUCGGAGGAAUCUGAUAGUGUGGGUAAUCAUACUCCCGAGAAAAUCCGCUAAGCUUAACCCAUGCGGCACCCGUACCGCAAACGGACACACGUGGUCGGGUAGAACAUACUAAGGCGUUGAGAGAUUCAUGGUUAAGGAACUAGGCAAAUUGACCCUGUAACUUCGGGAUAAAGGGUCCUCGUGAUGAGCGAGGCGCAGAGAAUAGGUCCAGGCAACUGUUUAACAAAAACACAGGGCUGUGCAAACUCGAAAGAUGAGGUAUACAGCCUGACACCUGCCCGGUGCCGGAAGGUUAAGAGGAGAUGUCACUCUUUGGGAGGAAGCAUUGAAUUGAAGCCCCGGUAAACGGCGGCCGUAACUAUAACGGUCCUAAGGUAGCGAAAUUCCUUGUCGGGUAAGUUCCGACCUGCACGAAUGGUGUAAUGAUCCGGACGCUGUCUCAACCAUGAGCUCAGUGAAAUUGUAGUAUCGGUGAAGAUGCCGAUUACCCGCGAUGGGACGAAAAGACCCCGUGAACCUUUACUACAGCUUAGCAUUGACCUUGGUCAUCCGAUGUGUAGGAUAGGCCGGAGGCUUCGAAGCGGGAGCGCCAGCUUUCGUGGAGCCAUCCUUGAAAUACGGCCCUUUGGCUGUCUGAGGUCUAACGCGCGAUGCGCGGACACUGCUUGGUGGGUAGUUUGACUGGGGUGGUCGCCUCCAAAAGCGUAACGGAGGCUUCCAAAGGUGCCCUCGGGUCGAUUGGUAACCGACCUCAAAGAGUGCAAUGGCAUAAGGGCGCUUGACUGGGAGGCAGACAUGCCGAGCAGGCAGGAAACUGGGGCAUAGUGAUCCGGCGGAUGUGUAUGGAAACUCCGUCGCUCAAAGGAUAAAAGGUACUCCGGGGAUAACAGGCUGAUCCCCCCCAAGAGCUCAUAUCGACGGGGUGGUUUGGCACCUCGAUGUCGGCUCGUCACAUCCUGGGGCUGGAGAAGGUCCCAAGGGUUGGGCUGUUCGCCCAUUAA